UACGUAGGGUGCAGGCGUUAAUCGGAAUUACUGGGCGUAAAGCGUGCGCAGGCGGUCUGCUAAGACCGAUGUGAAAUCCCCGGGCUUAACCUGGGAACUGCAUUGGUGACUGGCAGGCUUUGAGUGUGGCAGAGGGAGGUAGAAUUCCACGUGUAGCAGUGAAAUGCGUAGAGAUGUGGAGGAAUACCGAUGGCGAAGGCAGCCUCCUGGGCCAACACUGACGCUCAUGACACGAAAGCGUGGGGAGCAACAGGA
rnacentral:rRNA from 1 species